rnacentral:snoRNA from 2 species
GAGGUGUGCUCAGAGCAGGGGGCCUGAAGAAUGGCUCCUCUGUUUAUAACACACCCAACAGGAAUCUGGAGUCAUUGUGAUGAGAGGCAUGAAGCUUGUGGCCUCCCUACAAACAAAUGCUCUACAUGU